rnacentral:lncRNA from 1 species
AGAACAUUCAAAAUGUGAGUUUUCCCUAUAGUGAAACUGCGGUGGUAUUUUGAAUUGUGUUUUAAAAGUUUAAAAAAAAUCAAUGAUGACUUUGCUUUAUUCUAAAUAACAUGCAUUGUUUUGUGAUUAUAAAAGUGUGUUCAUUUAAAAUAGGAAAGUCUAUAGAAGAAAAUAAAAGGCUUUUUUUUUUUUUUUUAAGUAUUUUAGGGAGGUAUCACCAUUUAGGUUGGGUAGAAGUAAUUCUUAAAUCUUAAGAAGCAAUCAUAGAUAUGUGGAAGCCAAUAGUCAUUACUAGGGAUCAUGAUUCGGAAAAACAGCCUCUCUUCAAUGAUCCUGAAUGAGCCCUUUGAAUUCCUCUCCUGCAACUGAUCUCCCCAUGGGGAGUGGUGAGGGAUGGGUGACAGGAAGGGACCCUAACCCAAAGUAGUUCAGAGCGGGUGAGUUUUAGGAGCAUUUCGGUACCAAACACAGCUUCACGAUUGAGAAUCAUCAGUCAUCCCCAGCUUUCUAUUUCAUUUGCUAACCUCUCUAGGAACAACUGGAUGUUGUAAAUGUUUCUCAUCUGGCCUUAAAAUCCAUGAAAGCUGGAAAAUCACAAGGCAUCUGUGCAUAUACUGGUGGAUUUUAAUGAGAGUCCUGUGUUUGGAGCACCAGAAAUAAACCAGCUUCAGAAGCAAAGAUCUGAACGUCUAUGACACUCUUUCGAGCUGACACAGUGAAGAACAUAGAAGGAGAACUCACCCAGUCUGCCAGGGUCACAGAAUGAUCAUACUCAAGAUCUUCCUGGGGAGUCAAUGGCAAAUUUCACUGGGCUAUUUUACAGAUGAAGAAGGAACAUAAAGAAGGUUCUGGGACCCC